rnacentral:rRNA from 1 species
AUUUUGGGCAAUGGGCGAAAGCCUGACCCAGCAACGCCGCGUGGGUGAUGAAGGCCUUCGGGUCGUAAAGUCCUUUUCCAGGGGAAGAUGAUGACGGUACCCUGGGAAUAAGCCCCGGCUAACUACGUGCCAGCAGCCGCGGUAAUACGUAGGGGGCGAGCGUUGUCCGGAUUUAUUGGGCGUAAAGCGCGCGUAGGCGGCGCGGUGUGUCGUGCGUGAAAUCUCCCGGCUUAACUGGGAGGGGCCGUGCGAAACUGCCGGGCUUGAGGUCGGAAGGGGAAAGUGGAAUUCCGGGUGUAGUGGUGGAAUACGUAGAUAUCCGGAGGAACACCAGCGGCGAAGGCGGCUUUCUGGUCCGAUACUGACGCUGAGGCGCGAAAGCGUGGGGAGCGAUCCGG